GUGCUCACUUCUCACUUCGGCAGCACACACACCAAAAUCGUAACAAUACAGAGAAGAUUAGCAUGGCCCCUGAGCAAGGAUGACACGCAAAUUAGUGAAGCAUUCCAUAUUUUU
ensembl:snRNA U6 U6 spliceosomal RNA